UUACGGCCAUAUUUCAUAGAAAUACCGUUUCUCGUACGAUCACCAAAGGUAAGCAACGUCGAGCCGGGUCACUACCUAGAUGGGUGACCGCUUGGGAAUACCAGGUGCUGUAAG